CAUUACUAAGUCACAAUGGUUGAUCCCUGACGAAAUGUUACCAAGCCAAAUAGGUUCGUCAGGAUUCUCUGUGUUUCAUCAAACGGGUCACAAAAGAUUUGUUAUGCCAGUAAUGUCUAUCGGCAAAGGAAUACAAGAGGCACUUCUGUUCAAGACCCCACACCUUCCAUUUUUAAAAAGAAGCAUCCAUUUGUUGAAGAUCCAAUUAAUGGCCCGCGAAAUGUUUCUCUUAUUCAACAAUACCGGAAUUGGCUCGAACAGGAUCUGCUUCUAAGGCAUGAUAAAAAAAAGGGUAAGGAAAGCCGUUACAAAAAGAAUAAGCAAGCUUUGGAUCCGUAUGAUAUCAACUUUGGCUUCAAUUUUGGUGUGUACAUGUUGAUGACAAAAACUGGUUCUAUCUCUUAUCGAUGAAUGGCUAGUCUUGGAAUGAUGAGGUGCUAUAUUUCCCAUUUCUUUUUUAUUCCUUAAUUUUACAAUUGUCUAUCUAUCUGUUUUUUAAAGUAUAUUUCUCUAUAUUCCUUCUAUGUAUUUCUCUGUAUUUCCUCGUAUUUCUAUAUAUUUCUUCAUUCAAACAGCAUAUUUCUCUGUAACAGUUUUUAGUUUUUCUAUCACACAAUUUCCUUAUGAAAUUUAAUUUACCAAUAUGCAUUAAUCUUAUUUCAUUUUUUUUUACCAGCAUAUUGAUGUCAUUUUUUACUACUUGCGGAAGAAAGGCAAGUACGACAAGGAUAAUGGGGCUUCAAAUUCACAACCGUUAACUGUAUGUUCUUCUCCAAAAUUGACGAAAUUCA